rnacentral:lncRNA from 1 species
UGUGACAUGGUUAGUACCCUCACUGGCACACCUUACUACAUGAGUCCUCAAUUAUUCUCAAACAAACACUAGAGCUAUAAGUCUGAUGUUUGGACUCUGGGAUGCUGUGUUUGUGAAAUGGUCACCCAAAGCAUACUUUCAAUGUAAAAAUACCAAUUCUUUAGUUUAUGAAAUUAUUGAAGAAAAGCUGCCAGAGAUACCAAUAGAUUAUAGCCCAGAGCUGGCAGAACUGAUAAUAACAGUGCAGAACGGAAGUCCUGAAGAAAGACCCUCUGUGAGGAGCAUCCCAAAACAGUCUAAUGUAAAGCACCAAAUCUUGUUUUUGAAGGCUACAAAGACAAAGUUUUCCAAAAAUAACAUUAAAAGUGAUUACUCUAAAUCCAAAUCUGUUGUUAUAGUGGUUUCUAGAAAGACAGAAUGAAAUCAUGAGUGACCCACCCCCAAUCACACUGUUCAAGGGCUGUGGGAUGUAUGUAAUGAAUGAAGAAAAAUGUUUGUUCGAAGCAAAAGCCAUAGUCAUGGGUCCCUUGAAGUUACCUGCCAGUCUGAAAGGCCAUGCCUAGAAACCAUGCAUGAGUAAUACUGUGUGGUCACUAGCCACAAUCAGGAGGGUAAAUAUUGACAUCUUACCUGCAGAAAGGAGAGACUCAAUGAACUAAGUGGCUUAGUUCAGAAGAAUCAACCAAGACACUUAGAUGCCUUUAGUGACCUAGGAGAUAAAAACAGUAUUUCUUCUUAUGGGCUGCAGAAUAAUACUGAGUCCAGCAAUCUACCUAAAAACCUGACUACCACCUGGUCUUUGGACAAUGUCACCAAGGAAAGAAAUGAACCAGUGAAGCCUCUGCAGCCCCUAAACAAAGACCAAAAGCCAAGGACCAA